CCAUAAGGCACUUCAUUUUGUACCAACACCACGCGCCGCCGCCAAUCCCAUGUAUCAGCACGAAGUGAGCCGCCGCCGCCGCCGCCGCCGGAGGAUCAUUACCAUUACCAUUCAACUUCCUCUCCUCUUUCAUCAUUACAGGGAUUCCAGCCAGGCCUUCUUGUUUGAUGAAAAAAAUAGUACUCUCCCUAUUUAAAAUCGAGUAUGAUUGAUAGUGGCUGCUACCAAACAUGACGACCUCAGAUGAUUUCCAAGUGCUCCAUUACAAUUCUUCAAUAAAAGCAUUUUUAGUGUCGCACCAAACAUUCAUGGUUCAAAAUCAAUAGACAUAAAGUUUUAAAAUAGAUAAAUUAAUUCGACAGUAGCACGAGAGGUCUGACAACAAAAUCAAGAUAGAAAAUGAAUAGAGCGUCAGAUAAUUACUGUUUUGACAUUCAAUAAUUUUGUCAGCUUUACUUGACAAUUAUCUCCUUAUCACAAUGCAAGAAUUAUCUGAGUG